rnacentral:rRNA from 1 species
UAGGGAAUCUUCCACAAUGGGCGAAAGCCUGAUGGAGCAACGCCGCGUGAGUGAAGAAGGGUUUCGGCUCGUAAAACUCUGUUGUUAAAGAAGAACAUAUCUGAGAGUAACUGUUCAGGUAUUGACGGUAUUUAACCAGAAAGCCACGGCUAACUACGUGCCAC